rnacentral:lncRNA from 1 species
ACAGGCAAUGCAUUCAUUUGGUAAUCAGUAGUUUGUCUUAUAUAGUCAGUAAAUUGUUAAAGCCUGGACAACUGAUAAGAUUAUUUGCUUUCUCAUUUUUAUUUUCAAUAUUGUGCAGAGCCUCUAGUAUAAAUUGAAUAGAGUGACCUUUUGGGACUCUGUGAAAUUGACUGCCUUCCCUAAGAUUCUUUGGUUUCAAUUACCAUACUUUUUUUUUUUUUUUUAUAUUGGGUCCUCAGCCAUUGUGUGAAUUCCAGCAUAGCCCUCUCCAGUCACUCGAUCUGAUGAUACCGUCUGUAGCAGUACAACAUGUUACUAAUGAGGAUCUGACCAUGGGCAUGUGUGUUCCCAAUCAGGACUUCAUGUCAAGUAUAAGAACAAUGUGUAAAUUACCCAAAGCAAAUUGAAUCACAAAGUUGAUUGCGAAAUGCUGAGUGAUUUGGGGCCCAGUGAUGGAAACUGUGUUCUAGGUUGCCGGAUCUUGGGUUUGUGAGAUGGAUAAGUCAAUUAGUGGCUCCUCAGUUUAUUAGCAACUUAAUUGUCAGAAUGUAAUGAAACUUCUGAACUGCAACAACUCAUUAGAAGCAAUGAAACAUGUGACUUUUCUUUUUCUAGAAUAUUCAGUGAGCUGUAUUUUCCCCCAAAGAUGUCUUGAAAAUAAAAUGAACCAUUAAGUGUAAUUUUUUUUUAAUCUUUGAAGCAGGAAGAGAUUUAAAUUCCCUCCAUAGAAAAAUGCUCAGAAAAGGUUAAGUUCACUCAAGAAAAUAAGACUCUGCUUGAAUUACCAGUCUGUCCUGAGUUUGGUAUGUCACCUGUGUUGAAGCCUUAAUCUCUUCAAGGCUCUGCCCUGUUUGUAGAGUACAACAAUAAUGCUUAUCGAAGGGAUUAUUGUGUAGAUAGAAGGAAAUAUCACAGUGUCGUGUAUAACAAUAAUCUUAUCACAUGUCACAAGGUCUUUUGUCUUUAUCUUGAGAAAACAUAUUUUAUUUUUGAAGAUUAAGGUAUUAUUAAUGAGCACGCAGACCCCGUAUGAGCUGCCAUAUAUCAGGUGGCUGUGUCUUGAUGGCAUCUUGUAGCUUGUAUAUAUGGACUGUUUCUGAAAAUCAGAAUUCUUGUAAGUGGUGACUGAAUCUACUUGACCUCCAGGGGAGUUGACUCUGAUGACUGUAUCAAAAGCUCAAAGAUGAAUCUGGGUGCUCCUUUUAUACUUUAUGAUCACUAUGGCUCACAAAGAGAAUCUUGAUAGUGUUAAGAAUAAGGAGCUAUUAAAAAAUCCUGGAUGGUGAUUAAAACUUUAAUUCAAAUUUUAAUGCCAGUAAUUAUUUCCCAAAGUCCACAGCCCUAAAGAACAGUAGACUAUGGAAAGAGGACUUCAUCUUCAACUAAAAGUGAGAAUAACACCAGGUAUCUAUCUAUUCUAGUUUCCUUUCCUAAUUUUUAUUUCUCUUUUCCUCCAUAUUUCCAUUACUUGGCCCAUUUUAGCCUUAAUUAAACAAGUAAUUUUAUUUGCUUGUGAAUGAAUGAAUGAAUGGAUGGAUGAAUAUAGGCUAGCUAAGAUAAUGUUUCACUGUAAAGCUGGGGAUAAUGUUUUUUAAGUUUACCUUUUCUCCCCUACUUUCUUGGGAUACCUACCUUCCAAAGGCAUUUCCUUAGCCUAGUGGAUGAAAGAAGAGAUGGAAGAGUCAGGCAAAGAAAAUAUGACAUUAGCCUUGGAUCAGUGUAUAUUGUGACCCUUCUAUUUUGAUUGAGAAAAAAAUCUCUAUAUAUUUAAGGGUUAAGUAUGUCAGUGUAUUAUGCCUAUACAAUAAACCUUUUAUUAUGUAAUUUAAGUAAAAUAUAUAUCAUAUUCAUUGAAGACUAUGUCUCCUAGUCAUAUUCUUAAAUAAGACAAAUUAUUUUAUAUCUUCCUCCAUUACCCUCAAAAACUACUUUUCAUACGUAUUUUUUCUGUUAUAUUUCUUAUGAAUCAUUGGUUUCUGCUUUGUUUUAAAAAUAAUAUUUUUAUCUAGGUGGGGUGUUCAGAAUUGAAGGUAGAAUCUGUGGGACUUUUAUUCUCUGGAUUCAACCACACUAAUAAAGAUUAGGCUGUGGCACAUCUUAAGUAAUAGAAAAUAAGUCUUUAUGCUAUGUAGCUUUCUGCGGUUUCUUUGGAAUGUUUGUUCUUUGUUGAUGAUGUAACAUGUUGAAAAUUCUUUGGAGUAGGAAAUAUUUUUAUGGAGGUCUAUGGCACACUUUGUGCAUAGCAUAACAUACUAUUACCAAGCAACUAUCUUCCCCUGAGAGUGCCAAGUUCAACAGCCCCAAAUGACUUUCCAAACGACACAAGCUUCUAUAUGAUAAAAUUAGAACUUAAUCUCACUCUUCAAAGGCAAAAUCCCAUACGAUUUCCAAUCUGUGUCUUGUAAUUAUUCACAAUGGACAUGAUAUUGAUGAGGGAAGCACUGAAACGAGAGGCCUUGGGUUAAUGUUUGGAGAAUAUUGAAUGCUCUUCCAGGGUCAAAUUGAGCAGCAAUUGAUGCUUUAGUGGCAUCUAACUAUUUUGCUAUUAAUUGCUAAAGCCUGAUGUUUUCACACUGUGCCUGGAGGCAAAAGGAUCCACUCUGGGGCCAGCCAAGUCUAGCUGAUAGCAUCAGAUCUUUGAGCCCUGAGUGAACAGAUUACAGCUGCUGGCUGGCACUAGCCCAACAGUAUUGGAAAGUUUGUCUAUCACUACUGCUCCCAGCUGGGUUACUGAGGAUUCUGAGCAGGUUAGGGACAGACACUGUAGGGACUCUGCUGAGCCAGGGCCUUUGCUAGAGUCUCAUACACAUUCUAUUACUGAUUUUACACUGGCUGUUAUUUCCCACUUGCUAUCGCAAAGUUUUAUGAGCAAGAAAUAAAUUCAAUACAACUCUAAGGAUAAUCCAAAUUCAGUAAAUAUUUUGAACAAUUUAAUCUGAAAUGCAUGCCAUCACGUUGGUGGUUAUAAAAGCACUUCUUAUACUGAUUCUCUUGGGUGUCCUUUUAGUUUUACACUCAAUAUAAGUAGGCUGUCUGGUCUAUGAGACCUGAUGUUAUUUUUGUUUUAUUUUGAUUUGUUUUUCUUGCUGGUUUUGUUAUCUGUCAUUUAUUUAUUUAUUUAUUUAUUUAUUUAUUUAUUUAUAUUUAUUAUUUAUUUACACGCCACUUAAUUUGACAUUAGCAGUAAAAGGUCUUUGUUGGUGGGUGCCCCUAUCCAAUACCAGAGGUCUAAACUAUUUAAAGGAAUUGUAGGUCUUGAAGUAAGCCUAAGACAGGUACCCUGGCAUGGUGGUGCAUGCCUUUAAUCCCAGCACUUGGGAGGCAGAGGCAGGAGAAUUUCUGAGUUCGAGGCCAGCCUGGUUUACAGAGUGAGUUCCAGGACAGCCAGGACUAUACAGAGAAACUCUGUCUCAAACCCCCCCCCCC